UUUGAAAGAAAUCAUAGAAAAAAAUCCGAAGCAAUGUCUGAUUUCUUUCCGGAAGAAAUCAUAGAGAAAAUCCUCUUGAGGCUGCCCAUCAAAUCCCUAAUCAAAUUCACAGCAGUUUGCAAAUCAUGGUCGUCACUGAUCAAAACCUCUACCUUCGUUCAAUCCCAUCUCUGCACCACCAUCGAUUCCAACAACCAAAACGACGCUCACCUCCUCCUCCUCAGCGCUUACUCGCGAUCGUACUCGUACCCCGCCAAAGAAAGCAUCUCCAAUGAGCAUCACUGGUUGCGUUGGGAUAGCCCUGAAUUCGGUAAGUACUCCAAGCUUUCAAAUCCAUUCCCUUUCUUCACGUACGAAAACCAACGUCGGGAUCUGCGUGUUUUCGGUACCUGUAACGGGCUCGUAUGCCUGGAGAGUUUUGACCCCUGCACCAGGGAUUGUUCUCCCGCUUUAAUCUGGAAUCCUUCUAUCCGAAAGAUUGUGAUGUUGCCUACACCACCUGCUUGUCUUACCUCUACCGAAUACCACAAUUACCGAAAGUACACAUCCCAUGGCUUUGGCUAUGAUUCACAUUCUAACGACUAUAAGGUUUUGAGAGUUGUGAGUCUUUCUGAUGAUCAUUCAAACUUGUCCCGAUUCACCACCGUGGUUCAGGUUUACUCCUUGGCCAGGGGCUCCUGGAAGAGACUUUGUGCUUCUGUUGUUCCGGUGGAUUUGCAGGCCGGUGGUUCGGAACGUCCUGAUUUUGUUAAUGGCUGUUUGCAUAUGCUUGAAAUACGUUUAAGUGUGUAUUACGAUGACGAUCACCAGGAACACCGCAAGUGUGGUGGAGACUCGUUUAUUGCCUACUUUAAUCUGGCCACUGAAGUAUUUGGCGAGAUAAUGAUACCGGAAGCUUUGCGGAAAGAUGAGUGCUCUAUUUCGAGAUAUGGGGAGUCCCUUGCCUUGAUUAAGAAUAAAUGUUAUAAUUUGGAUGAUCCAGCUAAUUGUGGUUGUGACAUUUGGGUUAUGAAAGAGUAUGGUGUAGCAGAGUCAUGGACUUUUUUGUACAGUAUAGUUAUGGUUCAAGCUACUAUAUUUGGUUUUAAAAGGUGUGGGGAAGUUGUGCUAGAGGAGACGAAUGUCUUAAGACUAAGAAGAAUGCUUUCGCUGGAUCCUAAAAGCGGACAAGUUAAAGUUUUUGGAACCGAGUAUUGUACUUACUAUUUCAUGGAUUCUUUUGUAGAGAGUAUCGUCUUGCUUGAUCACGCGAAAGCCAUAUCUUACCAAGGAGAAAUAAAUUUUGCUUUCCGCUUAGAUGGAGAAACUAUCUACAGUCGUGUGGAUGGGUGUAUAUGUACAAGCUAGCACAACUAGUAUCAUUCUUGGCAUUAGUUUCUAUGGGAACUUUCGACAUUUCAGACAGUGUCAUUGGGCGGGUUGUGUAUCUAUUCUGCAUUGCAGUUGGUCUUCGAGAGAGUAGUUCGCUUGAUAUGAUUUGCCAUGAGAGUUUCAGAAUUUAAGGCAGUGAGCCGGUGACCAUGAGCAGCAUCCGUUUCCUCAGUUAUCUCUGAGACAUGUGAACUUGGGCAUAUGGAACUUAUCUGAGCUGCUGAUUGUCACCAUUGUCUGAGCCUUCCUCUUUGGAGACCCUUUGUGGCAGCAUCAAUAACUCUGGUAUAUUGCUUGAGUAUUUAUUCAGCUAAUGUAAACUCGUAUGAUCUACAAAAAAACAAAGAAAACGUAUUUCUGAGC